GUUCUCCUGUGAUGGUUUUGCACUGGGCUCUGAAUGUUUGUGGAGAUACAAGUGCAGCUCUACUCCUGACAUGGUAGAGCCUGAGGAGAUG